GACGUAGGGCGCGAGCGUUGUCCGGAUUUAUUGGGCGUAAAGAGCGUGUAGGCGGCCAGACAGGUCCGUUGUGAAAACUAGAGGCUUAACCUCUAGACGUCGAUGGAAACCGUCUGGCUAGAGUCCGGAAGAGGAGAAUGGAAUUCCUGGUGUAGCGGUGAAAUGCGCAGAUAUCAGGAAGAACACCCGUGGCUAAGGCGGUUCUCUAGUACGGUACUGACGCUGAGACGCGAAAGCGUGGGGAGCGAACAGG
rnacentral:rRNA from 1 species